rnacentral:rRNA from 1 species
AGUGAACGCUGGCGGUAGGCCUAACACGUGCAAGUCGAACGGCAGCACAGUAAGAGCUUGCUCUUACGGGUGGCGAGUGGCGGACGGGUGAGGAAUACAUCGGCAUCUACUUUUUCGUGGGGGAUAACGUAGGGAAACUUAUGCUAAUACCGCAUAUGAUCUACGGGUGAAAGCAGGGGAUCUUCGCACUUUGCGUGAUUGAUUGAGCCGAUGUCGGAUUAGCUAGUUGGCGGGGUAAAGGCCCACCAAGGCGACGAUCCGUAGCUGGUCUGAGAGGAUGAUCAGCCACACUGGAACUGAGACACGGUCCAGACUCCUACGGGAGGCAGCAGUAGGGAAUAUUGGACAAUGGGCGCAAGCCUGAUCCAGCCAUACCGCGUGAGUGAAGAAGGCCUUCGGGUUGUAAAGCCCUUUUGUUGGGAAAGAAAAGCAGCAGGUUAAUACCCCGCUGUUCUGACGGUACCCAAAGAAUAAGCACCGGCUAACUUCGUG